GAUGAACGCUGGCGGCGUGCUUAACACAUGCAAGUCGAACGGGAAAUAUUUCAUUGAGACUUCGGUGGAUUUGAUUUAUUUCUAGUGGCGGACGGGUGAGUAACGCGUGGGUAACCUGCCUUAUACAGGGGGAUAACAGUCAGAAAUGGCUGCUAAUACCGCAUAAGCGCACAGAGCUGCAUGGCUCAGUGUGAAAAACUCCGGUGGUAUAAGAUGGACCCGCGUUGGAUUAGCUAGUUGGUGGGGUAACGGCCCACCAAGGCGACGAUCCAUAGCCGGCCUGAGAGGGUGAACGGCCACAUUGGGACUGAGACACGGCCCAGAAUCCUACGGGAGGCAGCAGUGGGGAAUAUUGCACAAUGGGGGAAACCCUGAUGCAGCGACGCCGCGUGAAGGAAGAAGUAUCUCGGUAUGUAAACUUCUAUCAGCAGGGAAGAUAGUGACGGUACCUGACGAAGAAGCCCCGGCUAACUACGUG
rnacentral:rRNA from 1 species